UUUUAAGUAUAAGUAUGUCUCAUGUAAUAUUUGGGAUGCAUUUAUACUAAAA
rnacentral:pre_miRNA from 1 species